rnacentral:lncRNA from 15 species
AUCUCACGGUAGCCAGAGCCAUAUCCCAUAAUCCUUCCCUCUUGCCAUGUUGAGUUCAUGGGUUGACUCAGCAUUAACUCUUUCCUGUAAGAGGAGGGACAAACCAAACACUGCCUCAUGAAUCAAACCAUUCAGGAAAAACCUGAAUGGUUACGGAGAAGGACACAAUAGAUGGCAGAUAGUGAAUUUAUGAUAGUAACUUAUAAAUGUGGAUGUGUCAGUCAGUAACAUCAGUAGUGUAAAUGUGGAUGUGUCAGUCAGUAACAUCAGUAAUGUAAAUGUGGAUGUGUGUCAGUCAGUAAGGUCCGUGUAUGUUUUGGUCAUUGGAUUUUCCUUUAAGAAACAGGUAUUAAAAAACAGAAAACGAGUGGUUAUUUGAUUUUCGUUUUAAAAUACAAAAAUUAAAAUUGAACUACAAGGCGUUUUUCUUUUUCAUGGUCAGCAAGGGAUGAGCGAAUAAAAAAAAAUAUUCGAUUUUCAUUUUCUAUUUCAUAUAACAAAAAAUAAAAUCACUAAAAAACAGAAACAGAAAAAAGGCCUGUUUUUUCAUAUUCUGAGACCGGAUGUUGUCACAUCUAAGACUACAAGUAUACUUAAUAUCAAGCAUUUCUACUGUACCAAUGUGGAGAAAUUGAAGAAUAAAAGUCCCAUAUUUAUACUUCCAGAUUCCAUAUUUUCUUAUAUUUGAGCUACUGUAAAAAUGUAAACUGUAUGUGGAACCACCUGCAACAGCUGUCACACUGAAUAAUAUAAAAAAUAAUAUGUGAGGAAGAGACAGUAGGUACAAUGGUGUUUUGAAGUUAAAACUAAUUAUUUUUCCCUUUUACCUACAAAUGAACACAGCAGAGCAGCAAAAUAAGAAGAAUGUGGACUGGCAUUGCAUCUUGUGUGAAAAGAAUUGUGUAGGAUUUUGUGUUUAGUGUUUAGUGUUUAUAUUAUCAAGAUGUUAUUAAACAUUUGUGUGAAAUUUUGUCAUGAUUACUGCAGCAUUAUUGAAGUAUAAUGAAAAUGCUUCACCCAUAGCCAGGNNNNNNNNNNNNNNNNNNNNGUCCACCCUCUGGACACACCCCUGGAUCAACAGACGGCUACAGAGAUACAGGAAAGUUACUCAACACUCAGACAGUCAUCACAGACCAUCUCAACAAACCGGAGGAUUGCAGGCACUGAAGAAGCUAGUUGAGGACACGAUGGAGAAGGGUUCAGGUAAAAGCACAUGUAAGAAAGAGGAAGAGGAGAAGGCAGUAGACGCUGGUGAGGCCUCCUCUUCUGAGAAGACGUGCAGAAGUCCGCUGCACAAAACAAGGGGCAAAUGGAGACAAAGGACGGAAGAGAGAGGACUCCACCAGAAGAAAUUGACGCUUUGGGUCAAGUUCUGCAGGAGCUGAACGUUUCAGAGACCCAAGAAGAACAAAUACCGCAGAGCUCAGGAGGAAAUGCCAGUGCUGCAGUAGGAAAUGUCAGUGCUGU